UAUCUCUGUAGAGUCUGCAUAUCAAUAAGCGGAGGAAAAGAAACUAACAAGGAUUCCCUUAGUAACGGCGAGUGAAGCGGGAAGAGCUCAAAUUUGAAAUCUUCAAGGUUCUACCUUGACGAAUUGUAGUUUAUAGAAGUGUUUUCUGUUAGUAGAGUGGCAAAAGUUCUUUGGAAUAGGACAUCAUAGAGGGUGAGAAUCCCGUACUUGACCAUUAUUUUCAGCUGUGUGAUACACUUUCAAAGAGUCGGAUUGUUUGGGAAUGCAGUCCAAAAUGGGUGGUAAAUUUCAUCUAAAGCUAAAUAUUGGCGAGAGACCGAUAGCGAACAAGUACCGUGAGGGAAAGAUGAAAAGAACUUUGAAAAGAGAGUUAAACAGUACGUGAAAUUGUCAAAAGGGAAGCGUUUGACACCAGUGUUGUUUUCUCGAAAAUCAAUUAAAAAUGGCGGGAUUUUGUGUUGUAUUGACCUUUAUCAAGCUUUCUUCACUCUUUUCCUGUCUUUUUUAAUGCACUUUUCGUUUAACAAGUCAACAUCAAUUUCUUUUGUUGUAAAAGAGUCAUUGGAAGGUGGCUUUCUUUUCGGAGAAAGUGUUUAUAGCCUUUGACUUCUGCAAUCGGAGAGAUUGAGGUCUGCAGCGUAGAUCCUUCGGGGUUAGAUACAUUUGUGCUAAGCUAUAGCCUUUCAUAGACAACUUGUUGACUAUGAUCAGUCAUGUAGCUUACUCGCUUAUGCUAUUUUACCUACGCUUAGGAUGUUGAUGUGAUACUGCGAGCA
rnacentral:rRNA from 1 species